rnacentral:rRNA from 1 species
UGGGGAAUAUUGCACAAUGGGCGCAAGCCUGAUGCAGCCAUGCCGCGUGUGUGAAGAAGGCCUUCGGGUUGUAAAGCACUUUCAGCGAGGAGGAAGGGUAGUGUGUUAAUAGCACAUUGCAUUGACGUUACUCGCAGAAGAAGCACCGGCUAACUCCGUGCCAGCAGCCGCGGUAAUACGGAGGGUGCAAGCGUUAAUCGGAAUUACUGGGCGUAAAGCGCACGCAGGCGGUUUGUUAAGUCAGAUGUGAAAUCCCCGCGCUUAACGCGGAACU